rnacentral:rRNA from 1 species
UGGGGAAUAUUGGACAAUGGGCGCAAGCCUGAUCCAGCCAUGCCGCGUGAGUGAUGAAGGCCCUAGGGUUGUAAAGCUCUUUCACCGGUGAAGAUAAUGACGGCAACCGGAGAAGAAGCCCCGGCUAACUUCGUGCCAGCAGCCGCGGUAAUACGAAGGGGGCUAGCGUUGUUCGGAUUUACUGGGCGUAAAGCGCACGUAGGCGGACUUUUAAGUCAGGGGUGAAAUCCCGGGGCUCAACCCCGGAACUGCCUUUGAUACUGGAAGUCUUGAGUAUGGUAGAGGCGAGUGGAAUUCCGAGUGUAGAGGUGAAAUUCGUAGAUAUUCGGAGGAACACCAGUGGCGAAGGCGGCUCACUGGACCAUUACUGACGCUGAGGUGCGAAAGCGUGGGGAGCAAACAGG